rnacentral:misc_RNA from 1 species
UCUCGCCUACCAGCAUAAAAAUCUUUUUCGUAAGUGAAAGAUCUGAAUCACAUAAGUCUUAGACAGAUUUGACAUCGACACAACAAAUCCUUCUUCCUCCUCUUCCACCACCCUUGAGAAGACGGGAUAAUCUUUACUAUGGGAACGUGGGCUGUGUGGGUAAAUGACUGGACGUGAUAGCGAGUGGAAAAGGAAAGGAAAUGAAAUGAAGGAAAGCAACAUGAGCCUCCGUAGCCCAUAGCAACUGCUGCUAUAUAUAACAUCAUGGGUUCAGUUUACCAAAAAACGUCAGAAGACUGUUUUAGAAAUUUAAAAAUCUACUUUUCAUUAUAGAAGUUUUCGUGUUUCAGCGCCGACCUCGACAACCUUUAGCAGCUGUCUAGGUUCUUGGCUUUCGCCACGAGAUAAACAAUAACCCAGAUGGUUUAAAAUUUGAUGGAGGAAUGCCAAACAAUGUCUGCAUCACAGAAACAUGGAAAGCCUUGCUUACCACGAGACGGAAGACAGAAUAAAAACAUUACGAUAUGAAGACUCUAUGAGAAACAUAAGGAGUCAUCGAUACCAUCUGAGAGAAGAACCGGAAUGGAUAAAAUAUUAAGAAGGAAGAAGAAUGGACGAAAAAUAAAGCCAUUUCAAAGGAGAAUCACAGGUACAUCAGAUAUAUUCCUGUACUGAGCCAUUUUAGCAUAGUAUCCUGGGAUCAUGCUGUAGCUUAGCUCAUCAUCCAAGCUGAACACGAAUAUCACAGCAUCAACCCAUUGAGUG